AGUCCACAUCGACGGGGAGGUUUGGCACCUCGAUGUCGGCUCAUCACAUCCUGGGGCUGUAGUAGGUCCCAAGGGUUGGGCUGUUCGCCCAUUAAAGUGGUACGCGAGCUGGGUUCAGAACGUCGUGAGACAGUUCGGUCCCUAUCCGUCGCAGGCGUAGGAAAUUUGAGAAGACCUGUCCUUAGUACGAGAGGACCGGGAUGGACGUACCUCUGGUGUACCAGUUGUCCUGCCAAGGGCAUGGCUGGGUAGCUAUGUACGGAAUGGAUAAGCGCUGAAAGCAUCUAAGCGCGAAGCCAACUUCAAGAUAAGAUUUCCCACCGCAAGGGUAAGACCCCAGAAAGACUAUCUGGUUGAUAGGUCGAAGGUGUAAGUUCAGCAAUGUAUUUAGCUUAUCGAUACUAAUAGGUCGAGGACUUGACCAAU
rnacentral:rRNA from 1 species